rnacentral:rRNA from 1 species
GAUGAACGCUGGCGGCGUGCCUAAUACAUGCAAGUCGAGCGAACAGACGAGGAGCUUGCUCCUCUGACGUUACCGGCGGACGGGUGAGUAACACGUGGCUAACCUACCUAUAAGGCUUGGAUAACUGCGGGAGACUGGAACUCAUACCGGAUAAUAUCUUGACCCGCAUGGUUCAAUAGUGAAAGACGGUUUUGCUGUUACUUAUAGGUGGUUUCGCGCCGCUUUAGCUAGUUGGUAAGGUAACGGCGUACCAAGGCAACGAUUCGUAGCCGACCUGAGAGGGCGAUCAGCCACACUGGAAGUGAGACACGGCCCAGACGCCUACGGGAGGCAGCAGUAGGGAAUCGUCCGCAAUGGGCGAAAGCCUGACGCAGCAACGCCGCGUGAGUGAUGAAGGCCUUCGGUUCGUAAAACUCUGUUAUUAGGGAAGAACAAAUGUGUAAGUAAAUGUGCCCGUCUUGACGGUACCUGAACAGAAAGCCCCGGCUAACUACGUG